rnacentral:rRNA from 1 species
GGGGACCAUAGCGAGAUGGAACCACCUGAUCCCAUUCCGAACUCAGUAGUGAAACGUCUCAGCGCCGAUGGUAGUGUGGCAGGUGCCAUGUGAGAGUAG